UACGUAGGGGGCAAGCGUUGUCCGGAAUUAUUGGGCGUAAAGAGCGCGUAGGCGGUCCGGUAAGUCGGUUGUGAAAGUCGGGGGCUCAACCCUCGGAUGCCGAUCGAUACUGUCGGGCUAGAGUCCGGAAGAGGCGAGUGGAAUUCCUGGUGUAGCGGUGAAAUGCGCAGAUAUCAGGAGGAACACCGAUGGCGAAGGCAGGUCUCUGGGCCGCAACUGACGCUGAGGAGCGAAAGCAUGGGGAGCGAACAGG
rnacentral:rRNA from 1 species